CACGCCCUAAACGAUGUCAACUGGAUGUUGGAGGGGUUAAACCCUUUAGUGUCGUAGCUAACGCGAGAAGUUGACCGCCUGGGGAGUACGGCCGCAAGGCUAAAACUCAAAGGAAUUGACGGGGACCCGCACAAGCGGUGGAUGAUGUGGAUUAAUUCGAUGCAACGCGAAAAACCUUACCUACCCUUGACAUGUCAGGAAUCCUGGAGAGAUCUGGGAGUGCUCGAAAGAGAGCCUGAACACAGGUGC
rnacentral:rRNA from 1 species